rnacentral:rRNA from 1 species
GAUGAACGCUGGCGGCGUGCCUAACACAUGCAAGUCGAACGGAGUCCAGCCUUUAAGACCUUCGGGUCAAAGAGGGGAAGACUGAGUGGCGGACGGGUGAGUAACACGUGGGCAACCUGGCUCAUAUAGGGGGAUAACAGAGAGAAAUUUCUGCUAAUACCGCAUAAGCACACACUGCCGCAUGGCAGAGGGUGAAAAGAGAAUCGCUAUGAGAUGGACCCGCGUCUGAUUAGCCAGUUGGCAGGGUAAGAGCCUACCAAAGCGACGAUCAGUAGCCGAUCUGAGAGGAUGAACGGCCACAUUGGGACUGAGACACGGCCCAAACUCCUACGGGAGGCAGCAGUGGGGGAUAUUGCACAAUGGGGGGAACCCUGAUGCAGCGACGCCGCGUGAGUGAAGAAGUAUUUCGGUAUGUAAAGCUCUAUCAGCAGGGAAGAUAAUGACAGUACCUGAAGAAGAAGCCCCGGCUAACUACGUG